UCGGGAAUUUUGGGCAAUGGGCGAAAGCCUGACCCAGCAACGCCGCGUGAGGGAUGAAGUAUUUCGGUAUGUAAACCUCGAAAGAAUGGGAAGAAUAAAUGACGUUACCAUUUAUAAGCUCCGGCUAACUACGUGCCAGCAGCCGCGGUAAUACGUAGGGAGCAAGCGUUGUUCGGAUUUACUGGGCGUAAAGGGCGCGUAGGCGGCGCGGUAAGUCACUUGUGAAAUCUCUGAGCUUAACUCAGAACGGCCAAGUGAUACUGCUGUGCUAGAGUGUGGAAGAGGCAACCGGAAUUCUUGGUGUAGCGGUGAAAUGCGUAGAUAUCAAGAGGAACACCUGAGGCGAAGGCGGGUUGCUGGGCCGACACUGACGCUGAUGCGCGAAAGCCAGGGGAGCAAACG
rnacentral:rRNA from 1 species